AGGAUGAACGCUGGCGGCGUGCCUAAUACAUGCAAGUCGAGCGGUAAGGCCCCUUCGGGGGUACACGAGCGGCGGACGGCUGAGUAACACGUAGGAACGUACCCCAAAGUGAGGGAUAAGCACCAGAAAUGGUGUCUAAUACCGCAUGUGCUCUUCGGAGGAAAGCUUCGGCGCUUUGGGAACGGCCUGCGCAUGAUUAGCUUGUUGGUGAGGUAAUGGCUCACCAAGGCGACGAUCAUUAGCUGGUCUGAGAGGAUGAUCAGCCAGACUGGGACUGAGAACGGCCCAGACUCCUACGGGAGGCAGCAGUAGGGAAUUUUCCACAAUGGGCGAAAGCCUGAUGGAGCAACGCCGCGUGCAGGAUGAAUGCCUUCGGGUUGUAAACUGCUUUUAUAUGUGACGAAUAUGACGGUAGCAUAUGAAUAAGGAUCGGCUAACUCCGUGCCAGCAGCCGC
rnacentral:rRNA from 1 species